rnacentral:ribozyme from 1 species
UGCCCAGCAACUCCUAUCCCUACCUCCUCGCGGUACUGGCCGGGGUACGAGUAACCUUAGGGAAGAUCGGGUAACCAACCUCCGAUGGGAACUUUGGUCGUAUGCUGACAGGGAAGG